UAUCUCUGUAGAGUCUGCAUAUCAAUAAGCGGAGGAAAAGAAACUAACAAGGAUUCCCUUAGUAACGGCGAGUGAAGCGGGAAGAGCUCAAAUUUGAAAUCUUCAAGGUUCUACCUUGACGAAUUGUAGUUUAAAGAAGUGUUUUCUGUUAGAUGAGUAGCAAAAGUUCCUUGGAAUGGGACAUCAUAGAGGGUGAGAAUCCCGUAUUUGGUUAUUCAUUCUAGCUUUGUGAUACACUUUCAAAGAGUCGGAUUGUUUGGGAAUGCAGUCCAAAAUGGGUGGUAAAUUUCAUCUAAAGCUAAAUAUUGGCGAGAGACCGAUAGCGAACAAGUACCGUGAGGGAAAGAUGAAAAGAACUUUGAAAAGAGAGUUAAACAUGUACGUGAAAUUGUCAAAAGGGAAGCGUUUGACACCAGUGUUGUUUUUCCGAAAAUCAAUUACGAAUGGCUUGAUUUUGUGUUGUAUUGACCUUAUCAGCUUUCUUCACUUUUUUCGAGUCUUUCUUAAUGCACUUUUCGGUUAACAAGUCAACAUCAAUUUCUUUUGUUGUAAAAGAGUAUUCGGAAGGUGGCUUUCUUUUCGGAGAAAGUGUUUAUAGCCCUAUACUUCUACAAUCGGAGAGAUUGAGGUCUGCAGCGUAGAUCCUUCGGGGUUAGAUACACUUGUGCUAAGUUGUAGCUUUUCAUAGACAACUUGUUGACUAUGUUUAGUCAUGCGGCUUACUCGCUUGUGCUAUUUUACCUACGCUUAGGAUGUUGACUGAUAUGUAGUCGUA
rnacentral:rRNA from 1 species